GUUGAUACAAUCCACAGAGCACGGGUCUCCAGCCGCACGCCCCUGGGUGUGUCUGAUCUUGGAAGCUAAGAUGGGUUAGAUGUGGUCAGUAAUUGGAUGGGAGAUUACAUUAAAAAACAACAACAGCA
rnacentral:rRNA from 1 species